AGUUCGGAUUGUAGUCUGCAACUCGACUACAUGAAGCUGGAAUCGCUAGUAAUCGCAGAUCAGAAUGCUGCGGUGAAUACGUUCCCGGGUCUUGUACACACCGCCCGUCACACCAUGGGAGUCGGAAAUGCCCGAAGCCGGUGACCCAACCAAAAGGAGGGAGCCGUCGAAGGCAGGUCUGAUAACUGGGGUGAAGUCGUAACAAGGUACC
rnacentral:rRNA from 1 species